GGGCUCCACCAGCUAACCCCUGGUUAUUAGGUAGAGACUAACUAACCAUGGGUUUUAAUAGAUUGGGCAUUCUAAAGGGUGGCAAAUGCCUAUGAACUCUGAACCCCAAGCUUGUUCCUAAGUUCUGAGGGGACUGCUGGGAGCCACAGGCACACUUGGUUGGCUCAGCUCUUACAGAUGUGACAGAAGCUGGUUUAAGAUGCCAUUAGAGCAAAAAUCCAUAUAGCUGCCUCAAUGGCAACUUUAUGACGUUUAUCAAAGCUACCUCAGCUGAGUCUCCUAUAGACAUGGGCCCCUUUUCAUUACCAACUUGUCUUUGUCUGCAUGGUUUCUGUCUGUCCUCCUCUGGAUCCAGACCAGUUCAGUUUGGGUUUAAUCUACUCUGGCCCAGACAUUGGGUCUCUGGCUCUUUCUUCAGAAUGGAUGACACACAGCCCAGUUUUACUCUGACCCUUGGACAAGGAACAAGUCUGAUGCCCAGUUUCUGACUGAUAACCCAGGAGAUCUCUGAGCUCUGCCAAGUUCCACCUAGAAGAUCGACAGACAAGAAGAAUAUAUAGAAAAUUGGGUCUGAAUCCCUCUCUACUGCUGGAGGUUGGCUGUCUAUCAUUCACUGGCUGUGGACUCAGGAACUUUGCAUCAUCUGGCACACAUGCAAAGUAGAUCUCAUGCAUAACAACAUCCCCCCAAAAAAACAUUAAAGGAGGAGGUGGUGCAAACAGGAACAGCAAGGAUCUGAAGCUGUGAAAAUGGCUUCCUGGGAAAGGAAAUUUUCAGAUGGAAGAAGUUUUAAGAGUAUAAGUACUAAGUGUCGAGGAACUUAACUAAAAGAACAUUGCAGGUAGACACGGUGCCAUUUCUGCUUUGUUCCAUACUGAGAAUGGUGUGUAACAGCCAUCCUUUGGGUCUUGAAUGAGUGAGAUUAUUCAGCAAGCAAACACAAGAGGACAAAUUACAAGCAGAGACAGAUAGACAGGUGGAGGUGGCAAGCAGAGCAUCAUCAGACUGGCUGGUUACAACAUCCAGCAGAGACCUCCGGAAGAGCUGGAUUGAGAGCAAGCAACAGUAAUAUCAUCAAACCAGGGGCUUACAAACACCCAUUAAAAGGAGCCACGGAAGCCCUACUGAAACAGUCUUGCUGCUGGUCCUGAUUGAGUCUCAGGCAGAUCACAGAUUCAGUCCGUGAGUGAACUUCCAGCUUCCUGUUCCCGCAGCAGCAGGAAUUUUUAUACCAGGGAAUAAACAAUAAAAUUUCAAUUGGAAA
rnacentral:lncRNA from 1 species